AGGGAAAGGGAAGAAUCAUAACAAAAGAGUAAAAGGGGGUUUGAUUUAGAAGACAGAACAACUUGGCACACAGAUAAGAACACAAAAAAGAGAGAAGAAAAGAAAAGGCUUGAGGUUGAAGAUAGAGGGAACAGAGGAACUAAAACCGGUCCACAACCAACAGCAGCACGUUAUCAACAACCUUAAACACCAAGCAUCUUUUCAGGAAUAAACUUCAAAUCGUGAGAGGGGAAAAAAAAAUAAAGCAAAGAAAAGGAAAAGGGUGGAAGAAAGUUAAAACUCCAGAAACAAAGAAAAAAAAACCACUCAAAUCCCACAAACUUUGAGAAAUGCUAAAAGAAAAAAGGAGCUAAAACAGGACAGAGAACGAAAAUAACACUUUCCCAGUUUUGCUUCCACUCCUCUCUCU
rnacentral:lncRNA from 1 species